rnacentral:rRNA from 1 species
ACUUUAAGCGAGGAGGAGGCUAAUGGUUAAUACCCUUAGUUAGACGUUACCUGCAGAAUAAGCACCGGCUAACUCUGUGCCAGCAGCCGCGGUAAUACAGAGGGUGCGAGCGUUAAUCGGAAUUACUGGGCGUAAAGCGAGUGUAGGUGGCUCAUUAAGUCACAUGUGAAAUCCCCGGGCUUAACCUGGGAACUGCAUGUGAUACUGGUGGUGCUAGAAUAUGUGAGAGGGAAGUAGAAUUCCAGGUGUAGCGGUGAAAUGCGUAGAGAUCUGGAGGAAUACCGAUGGCGAAGGCAGCUUCCUGGCAUAAUAUUGACACUGAGAUUCGAAAGCGUGGGUAGCAAACAGGAUUAGAUACCCUGGUAGUCCACGCCGUAAACGAUGUCUACUAGCCGUUGGGGGCCUUUGAGGCUUUAGUGGCGC